rnacentral:rRNA from 1 species
GACGAACGCUGGCGGCGUGCUUAACACAUGCAAGUCGAACGGUGAAGCGCCUUCCUUUUUGGUGGGUGUGGAUGAGUGGCGAACGGGUGAGUAACACGUGAGUAACCUGCCCCCUUCUUCUGGAUAACCGCAUGAAAGUGUGGCUAAUACGGGAUAUUCUGGGUCUGUCGCAUGAUGGGUCUGGGAAAGAUAUUGUUUCGGUGGGGGAUGGGCUCGCGGCCUAUCAGCUUGUUGGUGGGGUGAUGGCCUACCAAGGCGGUGACGGGUAGCCGGCCUGAGAGGGUGGACGGUCACACUGGGACUGAGACACGGCCCAGACUCCGACGGGAGGCAGCAGUGGGGAAUAGUGCACAAUGGGCGCAAGCCUGAUGCAGCGACGCCGCGUGAGGGAUGGAGGCCUGCGGGUUGUGAACCUCUUUCGCCAGUGAAGCAGGCCUGCCUCGUUUGUGGGUGGGUUGACGGUAGCUGGAGAAGAAGCGCCGGCUAACUACGUG